rnacentral:rRNA from 1 species
UACGUAGGGGGCGAGCGUUGUCCGGAAUCAUUGGGCGUAAAGCGCGUGUAGGCGGCCCGGUAAGUCCGCUGUGAAAGUCCAGGGCUCAACCCUGGGAUGCCGGUGGAUACUGUCGGGCUCGAGUCCGGAAGAGGCGAGUGGAAUUCCUGGUGUAGCGGUGGAAUGCGCAGAUAUCAGGAGGAACACCGAUGGCGAAGGCAGCUCGCUGGGACGGUACUGACGCUGAGGCGCGAAAGCGUGGGGAGCGAACAGG